rnacentral:rRNA from 1 species
GAUGAACGCUGGCGGCGUGCCUAACACAUGCAAGUCGAGCGGCAGCGAGGGGUGCUUGCACCCUGUCGGCGAGCGGCGGACGGCUGAGUAACGCGUGGGAACGUGCCCCAAAGUGAGGAAUAACUGCCCGAAAGGGUAGCUAAUACCGCAUAUUAUCUUCGGAUCAAAGGAUUUAUCCGCUUUGGGAGCGGCUCGCGUCGGAUUAGGUAGUUGGUGAGGUAAUGGCUCACCAAGCCGACGACCCGUAGCUGGUCUGAGAGGAUGACCAGCCAGACUGGAACUGAGACACGGUCCAGACUCCUACGGGAGGCAGCAGUGAGGAAUCUUCCACAAUGGGCGAAAGCCUGAUGGAGCAACGCCGCGUGCAGGACGAAGGCCUUCGGGUUGUAAACUGCUUUUAUAAGUGAGGAAUAUGACGGUAACUGAUGAAUAAGGAUCGGCUAACUACGUG